GUGGGGAAUAUUGGACAAUGGGCGAAAGCCUGAUCCAGCCAUGCCGCGUGUGUGAAGAAGGUCUUCGGAUUGUAAAGCACUUUAAGUUGGGAGGAAGGGCAGUAAGUUAAUACCUUGCUGUUUUGACGUUACCGACAGAAUAAGCACCGGCUAACUUCGUGCCAGCAGCCGCGGUAAUACGAAGGGUGCAAGCGUUAAUCGGUAUUACUGGGCGUAAAGCGCGGGUAGGUGGUUUUGUAAGUUGGAGGUGAAAUCCCCGGGCUCAACCUGGGAACUACCUCCAAAACUGCAUGACUAGAGUACGGUAGAGGUUAGUGGAAUUUCCUGUGUAGCGGUGAAAUGCGUAGAUAUAGGAAGGAACACCAGUGGCGAAGGCGACUACCUGGACUGAUACUGACACUGAGGUGCGAAAGCGUGGGGAGCAAACAGGAUUAGAUACCCUAGUAGUCC
rnacentral:rRNA from 1 species